CUUUCUUUACCUCAUACAGCAAGUGAAACUUGUUAAACAGGCUGUUGUGUUUUAUAAGAAUCAGGACGACCUAAAAUUCAUGCAGUAGAAUCUGAAGUCUCUGCGUUGUUUGUACUUAUUUCUCUUACAGGGUUUCUCAAUAGCCUCACAACCAUUUUUAUGAAGCAAAGAGUACGCAACGAUGAACGACCAUCGCAUGUGCGGCAGCCGAUGUCUGGGUCCAAUGACCUUCCACAUGGAAAUGAGAGGCCAAUGCGUGACCCUUAGCCAAGAAAGGAGACUUGCAUCCAGAGACACCUCGUCCUUUAUGAACGGUUUGGCUUUUCUGAGCCGCCCCGUUAAACUCGACGAAAAGAUGUAUGUACGAAUCGAACGGUGCUCCUCAAGUUGGGACGGUGCUCUCCGUGUAGGAUUCACCAACAUCUGUCCAAAUACGCACAGUAUGCCACCUUCUUCCAUACCAGAGCUUAGGGAUACGCCCGGCUAUUGUGUGCUGCCUGUGCCUGAGGGUUUAUGUGGGUGCAGUGCAGAGAUUCAGUUCUGGAUCAACCACGCAAGCCUCGUUCUCGUCCAAGGCAUGACUGGAGAGAGAUUUUACGUUAAAGCAAAGGGACUUAACCUGAAUAAACCACUUUGGGCUUUCAUCGACCUGUAUGGGAGCACAAGCACCGUGCGCCUUUUGGGCUCAAGAAGAGGCAGGAGGACAUCGUGCCCAGAUUGUCCUAAGUUAGACAAUGUAUCUGACAUCAAUUGGAUUGGUGAGAAUCAAGUUUCAAAGAAAGACCAAGAUGAUACCGAUCUCAGUUUCUCAGGAAUUAACCACAACAACGAAACAGCAAUACACAGGACAUCAUCUUGUUGGAAACCGAGUCUCUUCCUCUUACAGUACGCCGGUCAGAAAACCGUCCCGAGCCCUACAGAACGAACCGAACUCACAAGAGCAGGCUUAGGAAUACCGGUUCAUGAAUCAGACACAGGGGUUGAUCUAAACCAGACCUGGAGAGAGCUGAAUCACUUCAUUUGCUCCAGCUAUCCAUCCAUCCAUCUGGAUUCGAUCGGUUUCAGUGCCGCCAAGGCUGACAAAUACGGGAGACUUUGGCGAAUACAUGCCAGUACUGUGAAGAAACUGAAGAAACGGCUGGGGGAGAACGUGCUUUAUAUAAUACCUGAUAAUGACAUUGUUUUAAAUGAGAUGAUCACACACACAUUAUCAUCAAUCCUCAAUAGAAAUUCAUCAUCAUCAGACACUGCUCCGCAUCUUCGUUUUCAACGCAGACAUCGACUGACUUCAACCGACAGCAGUUUUUCUGAUGCAAGCCCAAAUUCUUCAAUGGAGGAUGUGGAUGUUGGAUCUUUGCUCAGAGAAUUUCAACAAAGCCAUCUUUCCCCCAAAGAGCAAGUUUCAAUAUUGGUUCAUCGAAACAAGGUACUGCAGAGUGCUAAGGAGGCCAUCUCCAACAGCAAUUUCUCCUGGACCAAAACCCCUCUGGUGACAUUUGUUGGCGAGGAGGCACUCGACUGCGGAGGUCCACGGAGGGAGUUUUUUAGACUCCUGAUGAUGGAGGUGCAAAGCUCUCUGGGUAUUUUCGAGGGCAAACCUGGACAAUUGUUCUUCACUUAUGACCAGAUGGCCCUGGAGCAGCACAAGUACGAGUUAGCUGGGAAGCUCAUUGCAUGGUCUGUGGCUCAUGGUGGACCAGGAUUCAAGGCGCUUGAUCCCUGUCUCUACCAGCUGAUGUGUAUCCAAGAGUGUCCACUGGAAAACUUCGACUGGUGCCUGAUACCAGAUGCUGACAUUCAGAGGAAAUUACAAAAGAUUUUGUCAUGUAAAACGACAAAAGACCUCCAUAGGCUGCAGAGAGAAGAGGGAGACUGGAUUUGCGAGUGUGGCGUUCCUGGAAUUUACAGACCUGACAUUUCCAUUCGAGAUCUACCAAAAAUUUACUCCUACGCUGUUCGGCAUUACAUAUAUCUUAGAACUUCUAAAAUGAUUCAUCAGUUUACAAACGGACUGAAUGCUUAUGGACGGUUUUGGGAUUUGGUUAAAUCUUACUGGGCUGACUUCUUGCCCAUCUUUACCAACAUGCAUGAACCGAUAUCAAGAAGCACCUUCAGGAGCCUGUUUCAGAUAGACUGGAGUAAAGCAACGUCCCACAGGAGGAUGGCUGAGGAGGAAACUAUUAACUGCUGGGAAUUAGUACUUAAGAUGAUUGAGGAAUUUUGUUAAAAAGGGACGAACCCAACCUAUUGGAUUGUAUUCUAACCCAUAUUAAAUUAGGUUUCAACCCAAAAUGCUGUGUUGUUUUAUCCCAUUGUUGGAUCAAAUAUUAACAUUUGCUAAGUGAAUGUAAGCCCUGUAAACCCUGACAAAAGGCAUUUCUAAAGACAGCAGCAAAUGGCUGAAUCCACAGGGAACUGCUUCCUAAUUCCUGUCGAAUUAUCAUCUGAAACCUUUCUCAAAGAAUUCCCAUCUACCCCCCCAAGACAAUUACCCCAUAGGGUGAGACAGAAGAGUCACAUCCUGCCACACCUUCUCGUCCCCCUCUCCUCAUGUUCUAAAAGCAAACUGUAUAUGGAAUGCUACAUUCUACAUGUACAAAGAAUCUGAGGCUCUGUUUACACGUAAAUGGUUAUUUUUAAAAACUGAGAGAUUUACCUUCGUUUGUGCCCCUCGUUUACACGCAAACGGAGAACUCGCCUCUGAAAUCGAUUGUUUCUAAAAACUCCGGCCAGAGUGGAGAUCUUGAAAAUCUUCGGUUGCACGGUUGCAUGUAAACUGAGACAAACGGAUGUUUAAGCAGGCAACGUCACAGAGUAUGCGCCAGAGCUCGCACCUACUUCAAAAGUGCGACCUAUGUUUACAUGUGACUGCUACUCUGAACGCUUCCAAGACCACAUUUAUGUUCCUGCAAACUCGUUUCGUGUGCUUGUAUUUGCAAAUACAGCUGCUCCAUUAUGUCGAGGAGCAGAGACGAGUGCUCGGAGGUCAGCAAUUUUAUGCGUGUUUGACUUCAUGCGGCGCUGCAAGAACCGACGGACGGAUGAUGUCAAAGUACCGCGAGAGCGAUUCGAAAUUAGACCUCUACGUGUGAUUCCUCAACUCGCUCUCGCGGUACUUUGACGUCAUCGAUCACCUACUGCAACAACUCCUCCCUCCAACAUGAAGAACCAGUUCGCGUCACCACCAGCGCUGCCGGUGAUUGGUUUACGUGGGCUUGAGCUUCUCUUGACGGCAUAUAUGCACGGGUAUGUGUAAAUAAACACUUUUCUGAAAACUGACAUGUGUGCACGAUAUUAUUUUUGAAACCGGAGAUGUUGAAAUGUCCGUUUAUGUAAAUAGCCGCCCACGUGUAAACAUAGCCUGAAACUGGUUUUGUGUAAGGGUUUUUGUGUUUCAUUCAUUUCUGUUCAUUGUUGAUCAUCUUGUUAAGUAAACUUGUUACCUCAUUAUUAGUUUCACCUGUGCUUAAUUAUAGUUAAGCUCUUACACCUGUGUUUGCUUAUCACUUGCCUGUAGGCCUAUAGUUUGCCCCGUGUGUGUGUGUUCUUUGUCGGUGAUCGUCAAUGUAUGUUGUGGAUUUGCUAUGCUCCUCAUCGUUGUAUCAUUAAAGUUCUAGUUUAUUGUUUAUCCAGUGUCUCCUCAUCGUUGUGUGUGAAUAAUACGUGACAUUUUGUAUGGUGUUAUAUGAAGUGUUUUAAUGCAAGUGGUACAUUUGGGUUUAUUAAUAUGACGACAGGAUUCAAUGUUAAUCUGUAAACUUAACCUAAUGUUGGGAGACAACUCCUACAUUAGACAUGUUGACCAAUCACCCACUGUAUGCAUAUUAGGCAACACCCCUGAGUUUUACAACAACCAAUCAGUACCAAAUUCCUAGAUGCUUUGUCUCUCUGGAUAUUUAAGGGAAUGAUGUAAAAUAGUUCAGCGGGUUUUUCUGUACAUGGAAACUCACCCCCAUGAUGCUGUAUCUUUGAUGUAUUUCAUUUUACUUUGAGAAAUCUGUAACCAGAUAUUCAUCAUUUGCCAGACAAAAAAACAGAGUUGCAGUUUGAGGAGCUUUUGGUCUUCGUAACUGGAGGAGAUGAGAUCCCGCCACUGGGUUUCCCCCAAAAGCCCAGCGUUCACUUCUACCAGCCAGAGAAGCGUGGAUGUCGCUUACCAUAUG